CAUAUUGCCUUAUUGGAGCCCGAAACGGGUCGGGAAAAAUCCCGAGAUACAUUCAAUAAAUAAUAGAGCAUUUCUACUCCCUAAUGGCUAUAGCUAACCACCUAACAUGCAUCCUCAAGUCACUAAUUUAAUUGCUCUAACCUAAUCUAACCACCUAAGUGCAUGUAAUUAAAUCUAACCAACCCUAAAACAUAAUUAACAAACUAAUAAAGCAUUAGUGAGUAAAACUCACUUGACAAAAGCGGAGAUCGAAUCACCGCAACGGCGACGCAACGGCGGCCGAAAUCGGACUUUCGACGACACCGGCGGACUUGGACCGGGCCUUAAGCUUGGCCCAACAAAUCUCAGCCCAAUUGAGAUUUGUUCUUGCACUGGAAUGGGCUGGACCUGCUGAAUUUCUGGACUGAACUAACUUGGUCUUCAAAUUGGUGGGCUGGACUUCAAUUGGUUGCUGGAAACUGGGCCUCAAAAAGGCUGGGCUUCAAUUCUAAUUGAUGAUGGGCUGAGCUCACAAGGAAAUUGCUGGACUUCAAGAUGUCAAACUGCAGGCUGCUUGAUGGACCAAAAUGCUGAUCAUUUGGGCUGUGAAGUGGGCUGUUAUUGGGCUGCCG
rnacentral:lncRNA from 1 species